rnacentral:rRNA from 1 species
UAUGAAGGCCAGGCUGAAGACUUUGCCGGAUUAGCUGAGAGGUGGUGCAUGGCCGUCGUCAGUUCGUACUGUGAAGCAUCCUGUUAAGUCAGGCAACGAGCGAGACCCACGCCCACAGUUGCCAGCGUACUCUCUGGAGUGACGGGUACACUGUGGGGACCGCCGCUGCUAAAGCGGAGGAAGGAAUGGGCAACGGUAGGUCAGUAUGCCCCCGAAUAUCCCGGGCUACACGCGAGCUACAAUGGUUGGUACAAUGGGUAUCUACCCCGAAAGGGGACGGGAAUCUCCUAAAACCAAUCUUAGUUCGGAUUGAGGGCUGCAACUCGCCCUCAUGAAGCUGGAAUCCGUAGUAAUCGCGUUUCAACAGAACGCGGUGAAUACGUCCCUGCUCCUU